ACCUGGCUGGCUCAGUUGGUGGAGCACGUAACUCUCAAUCUCAGGGGUUGUGGGUUCAAGCCCCACGUCGAGUG
rnacentral:tRNA from 1 species